GAAUCAACACCCAAACAAACCCUUCGGUCUAAGCUCCCUGUUCCCAGGGUGACAGGGAAGAUGAUCAAAUUCAUCAACAAAGGCACGACUAACUCGCGUUUUAAACGGACUCAAAUGGAGACUCCUGAACUUGGCUCACCUCUACAAGGUCUUGGCAGCAGGUAAAACUUUCUCUGGACCAAUUUUGUAUGUCUUCUUGAAUGUCAACGCUUCUCCAAAACCGAGAUGUUCACGUGUGUAGUUGUUUGAAAGCUGGAUCACGGUAUGGGUUCUUGGGUGGUAGAUGGCUGUGGAAUUACAGAGGUUGUUAGCAUUGUGGUCUUUAAGCUGAAGUGAUGAAAUGCCCUCCCCUGUGCCUGACUGCACCGAGGCUCUAAUCAGAGACGUACUGAAAGACAUACUGAGAGCAUCAAAGUAUGAACCAAAAUGUAAAGCUGGAGAUGAUGUCAUUGCCAAACCACAAUUUACUCCAGAUUCUUCUGUUGCAAGCUGGAAUUGUUCUGAAAUCAUUUUUGAUUAAGAUAAGUGUCACUGCCUAUUGACCCUUACUGAUUUCCACUGGACUUCAGAGGAAACUUUAGAUACAGUGAUUCGGAGCUUCAAUGGCGUGGUCCUACACUUUAACGGUUGGACAAGAGCUCUACAUCUUAAACCAAGGAAAGGCUUCACCCAGCAAAACACGAAGAAAGUACGACUUUAGGCUGCUGUCUCCUAACACUGGAACCAAUGGAAACACCAUACAUCUUCACGGGAGGGUCAUUGCAGGUUCAGGAAAACACCCAUUAUUCACAGAACCCAAUCGUCUAAUUGCAUGUGGAAAGCAGUGUGUUCUGUCCCCAAGACCCUACCGCUGCACCUCCAUGCUCAAUAAAGCUGAAAGUGAAAGGUCCAUGAAUGCAGAGGAGAUUGAGAGGGAACCAAUCUCCACACACAGAAGCUUGGAUGACCAGAGAUUCUGCAGUGGGAGGUUAGAGACGUUAGAGGUGAAAAAGAGGGUGCACAGCUGCCUGGGGAGACGAACAGCGAGGCUGAUAUCCAUCCGCCGACCGUCUACAGCACCUGCAUGCACUCUGCAGACUAGGGAGAGUGAAGUAAUCCAGCAAAGGCCAGAAACUCCAAGUUGCAGGGUGGUGUGGAGAGCGAGAGAGGGUGAACACGGACACCCCGACAGCCCAGAUUCCACCUCAAGGGAAAUUCCUGUUCUACACCUCUACCUACCCUCCUAUCAGCUGCCCAAAAUGGAACAGGAAAUCACACAGGACAAGGAUUUGAGAUCAGAAAUCAACAUGGGAUUAGAUACUGAAACAGACAAACAGCUAAACAAUAUGAGUGAUACGAUUCAAAAUGACUUUAAAGAAAGAAAAGAAGAAGAAGAAAACAUGAUCCAAGGAAGGAGUGAGAGUAAAGAAGGCAUUGAAACUGGGAACAGUACCAAAAAUGCAGGUAGCAACAGUGAACAAAACGAAGAAACUGAAAUCACAGAGGAAAAAGAAGGAAGCGGCAUACUCUUUGAAGACAAUGGAUGGCCUAAUUCUACAGACGACAGCCUGCUGCAGGACGUUACACAAGGUGAAGAAAAGCACAAUAAGAAAGAUGAACUCACGGAGGACAAAAGACAGCAGGAGGUCACCCAGGGUGAUAUAAUUAAGGGUGAGGAGAACAAACAACAUGAUAUUGGAGAGGAUAUCAGACAUAAUGACUAUACUGAGGACGUUAAGCAGCUUGAUAUCACUAAGGAACAUGACCAGGAACAUAGCACCGCAGGAGAAAAUAGACUGCAGGGAUGCAGUGAAAACAAUGGGUCAGAUAAAGUUGCAGAUGACAUUGAAGGUAUCAACAAGAUGGCGCCAGACUUGGAGAUCCUGCAGAGCACUUCUGACCAUAAGGAUCUAAUAAAGACUCAAACGUCUAUGGAGAACCUAAAUGACCUAAAGGAGCAUCAACAGGUACUGGAGAAGCGAGAAAAAGCUCCACCUUCAAAGCUAAAAUCUGGACGUGCUCAUGUUACAACUUCAUGCUCGCUGGGCCAAAGCUCUGAAACCAACAGCCUGAGGAGGAUUACUCACCCAGCGCCAGUUAUAUCGUUCCCUUGCCUAUAUACACACACAUACUCCUCCCCCCUACCCCAUACGCUUCCAUCAUUUUAUGGGACCCAUUUUGGCUAUCGUCUCAGAACGCUCCAUACCCCCCAGCCCCAUCGUGCCAAGACAUGGACCACCAGCAUCAGCUCGGACAAAAGACUCAUAAAAACAGUGAAGGAACUGCCCCAGAGCAAAGAAACAAAGGGAAACCAUCAUGUCUCCACAAUGGAAACCAGAGGAACAACAGGUCCCCACCCCAAAAUAAUGAGCUCAGAGUGGGGGGCUCCGCCUUGUAAAACCAAAACCACCAAGACCUUUGUGUGGGGCCCAUGGGGUCCCCAAGAGACCAAGAGUGUGUGUGAGCUGCACACUCAAGCUAACAGGUGUGAUGGAGGGGCAGUUUGAAAGCUGUAGAGACUUCUUUGGCUGUGUGGGGGCUGCGUUCCUGCCCACUGCACACAAAUGAGGAAGAUUAUGAUUGAACGUUCAGAGACAGGUGUGCCUGACUAGAAGUAAAUGAUGUCCAAAGAGUUUCAGGCAGAAAAGCUUGGCUAAAAAUAUGGGCAAGGCAACAUCUGCAGAUGCUCUCUUUCUACGAAAAGGAAGAUUUCUCAGACUCCUGUCGUAAAAGUAAAGAAAACUAGGGUUUCUCAUUACAAAGAAAUUACAGAGAAGGCUAAAUAUCUCUUGUUGCACGUUUCUUUCUAAUUAAAAUCAUGUUUGUAAUUACAAAUAUUGCCUGCAUUAAAUAUACUUUAACUUUUAAAAGUAUGUUUUUGGAAAUAUAAGCUUAAAUUUCUUAGUAUUUAUAGAUAGAUGGUAUUUAUAGAAAGAUAGAUAUAUGUACAUAUACAGAUAGAUGGUUUGGGAUAGCGCCCAUUCCUGACCUAUAAGUGAAUGCUAGGCCAACCAACCCCACUGCCCCUUUUGACAGACAGACAAAGGGAUUGAAAGAGUAAUAGAUAGAUGGACAGACAGGUAGGCAAACAGACAGACAGUGAGACAAUGGACAGAUAGAUACAUAGGCAUAAACAAACAUGGAUAGAUGGAUGGACAGACAGACAAUUGGACAGACAGACAGAGAGACAGUGGAUAGAUUUUUACAUAGACAUUAACAAAUGUCUAAAAAAAGAUGGACAGACGGACGGACUGACAGAGAAACAGGUGGCCAGACGGUCAGACAGACAUGCAAACAGAUACAGAGAGAGAGAAAGAGAUAAUGGACAUAUAGAUGUGAUAGACAUGAACAAACAGGUGAAUAGAUGAAUGGAUGGACAGACAAAGUGACAGAUAGACAGGUGGCCAGACGACAGAUAGACAAAGACAGUCAGACAGAUAGAUGAAUGGACAAAUGAAUGGAUAGUUUUCCUGAUCCAUGCUGUGGGAAUGCUGUGCCAAUCAGCCUCACUGCCCUUUUUGUUCUCUCAACCUGAGCAGAUCAGGGUUAAAAGUAACACUGGGUUCCCAGAGACUCCCACUGCUGUUUCAAGCUUUAAAUGAAAUAAACUCAUAGGUUCUCACA
rnacentral:lncRNA from 1 species